AAGGAAACAGGAACAGAAUGGCGGAGGUGCUUUAAAACUGGACAGCAGAGGCCGGAGGGGGGAAAAUGUUUACGAUUCAGCUGGUUUUCUGAAUUUACUGCAGUUUGGAGUUGGAGGGAGUGGAACCUGAUGUCCCUUCCUGGUCCUCCCUUCCUGUUCCCACUCUCAUCCUCAGAUAAAGUCCCCCUUCCUUCCCAACAUCCCCGUGUCAUGUGGUCCUGUUCUCUAUCUAUCACGCGAGACAUUUCACCAAAAAAAGUGUCAGAUGGGAGCAGACACAGCCUCUGAAGAUCGAGGAAAGGGAAGGCAGCCCUGAGAUUGAAGAUGUCGCUCCUGCAGCCGCCUCUCACUUCAUUCCCAAUAGCAAAGUUGUGCAU